CCCGAAUUCAAAAGAGCUAGUUAAUUAUUUAUUUUAUUGUAGAAUAAAUAUUUAUAAUUUUUGUCUAGUAAUGAAAUGUUAUUCGUUUUUGAAUUUAUCUGGUUCCUUAAGAAAUAAAUUUAAUUUAUGACAAUUGAGUAUUUACUUGUUUCUUUAGGUAAAUUUUUAUUUGGUUAAAUAUUUAAGGGGAUUAGCUUUUGAAUAUUUUUAUAAGUUCAUUAUUUUAAAUGAUUAAUAGGAUUAGAAUUUUCCAUUUAUAAUAGGAUGUUAUAAUUAAUUAUUUUAUAAUUUUUAUUUAUAUGAAUUUUAGGUGUGUUAUUAAGGUUUUAGCUUUAAUUUUAUAGGUUAAGCAAUAAUGAUUUAAUUAGUAUAGUUUAUUGUAUUAUUGAUUUUGGUUUUUAGUUUAUGCUAAGGAACUCGGCAAAUUAUUUUUCACCUGUUUAAUAAAAACAUGGCUUUUUGUUUAUGAUUUAAGGUCUGACCUGCCCAAUGAGGAAUUUAAUGGCCGCAGUAUUUUGACUGUGCAAAGGUAGCAUAAUCAUUAGUUUCUUAAUUAGAAGCUGGAAUGAAUGGUUUGAUGAGAAAAUAACUGUCUCGGUGUAAUUGUUUUAGAAUUUUAAUUUUAAGUGAGAAAGCUUAAAUUUUUUAAAAAGACGAGAAGACCCUAUAGAGUUUUACAAUUUUUUUAAGUAACUAAUUUUGGUUUUGGUUUUAUUUAUUUAAAAUGAUCGUUUUAUUGGGGUGAUAGUAAAAUUUAAUAAACUUUUAUUAUUUUAAUACAUAAAUUUAUGAAUGGUUGAUCCUGAUUUUUGGACUAUAAGAUUAAAUUACCUUAGGGAUAACAGCGUAAUUUUCUUUGGAGAGUUCUUAUCAAUAGAGAAGUUUGCGACCUCGAUGUUGGAUUAAAAUUUAAUUUAGGUGUAGAAGCUUGAAUAUUAGGUCUGUUCGACCUUUAAAAUUUUACAUGAUCUGAGUUUAAACCGGUGUGAGCCAGGUUGGUUUCUAUCUUUUAAUGUUUAUAAUAUUUUAGUACGAAAGGACCAAUUAU
rnacentral:rRNA from 1 species